ACGGAAGGCAGCAGUAGGGAAUCUUCCACAAUGGGCGAAAGCCUGAUGGAGCAGCGCCGCGUGAGUGAAGAAGGUUUUCGGAUCGUAAAACUCUGUUGUAAGGGAAGAACAAGUACAGUAGUAACUGGCUGUACCUUGACGGUACCUUAUUAGAAAGCCACGGCUAACUACGUGCCAGCAGCCGCGGUAAUACGUAGGUGGCAAGCGUUGUCCGGAAUUAUUGGGCGUAAAGCGCGCGCAGGUGGUCCUUUAAGUCAGAUGUGAAAGCCCGCGGCUCAACCGUGGAGGGUCAUUUGAAACUGGGGGACUUGAGUGCAGAAGAGGAAGGUGGAAUGCCAAGUGUAGCGGUGAAAUGCGUAGAGAUUUGGAGGAACACCAGUGGCGAAGGCGACUUUCUGGUCUAUAACUGACACUGAGGCGCGAAAGCGUGGGGAGCAAACAGGAUUAGAUACCCUGGUA
rnacentral:rRNA from 1 species